rnacentral:lncRNA from 1 species
UAUUUAUUUAUUUAUUAAAAUUUUUAUUUUAUUUUAUUUAUGAUAGGCACACAGUGAGAGAGAGAGAGGCAGAGACACAGGCAGAGGGAGAAGCAGGCUCCAUGCACCAGGAGCCCAACGUGGGAUUUGAUCCCAGGUCUCCAGGAUCGCACCCUGGGCCAAAGGCAGGCACUAAACCACUGCGCCACCCAGGGAUCCCUGAAUCCAGCUUCUCUCAGAGAUGUGUCAGUUGAUUGUGAGUUAUGUUUACAUUUCAAGCACAGGACAAGUCGUAUAACAUCAUGAGAUGGAAAAAGAACACAAGUUUUCCCAGAAAGGACUUUGGGUUCCUGAAGCCAAUGAUUAACAAGCCUUUAAGGUAAAUAGGGGAAGAUUCAGGAUCAGUAAAGGAAUAGGUGAAUUUUGGAUUGCCUCUAGAGAAGCAUUUCUAGCUUCGUAAAUUUUGUAAGAUAAGGAAAGCUGCUUUCAAAUCCUCACAGAACUGGGUUGCAAGUCAAAUAACUUUAUAGGUUGAUCUACUCAUCUGAUUCCAUUUUCCUCAAUUUGCUUUUCCCCCUCUGGGUACAUUUUAUUAGUUUCCUGCAUGGAUAGUAUCCUGUCAGGGUUUUUAGAAGCUUUGAAAUACCAAUCAAAAUACGCAUCCCACUUAGAUUGUCUAAUUCAAUGGCCAGCUUUCUCAAGUUGGGUCCGCACAUAGUAAUUAGGUAUUUUAAAGGAUCCUCAUUUAGGCUAUUUGAGAGUUAAAACCAUCCGAAGUAUAAUCCUUAAAAAACCUUCUGACCUCCUUCACCCAGAGAUUUCUAGGCUCAAACUUCAAUAAGGAUUUAAUCCCACAGGGUAUUGACCAAGGAAAUUUUUCUUUUAAAACAUUUCCCCUGAGCGUUCCUUUAGGCUUUGCAAUUAACAAAACAGAGAGCACUAAUUAUUGUGGCAGAGCCAAGCUCACUUUUUGCCCAGUCCUUUCAGGUGCGGAACAAAGGAUGUUCAGGUGGAUGUUCCCUUAACCUCUAAGGUCAUGGGAUAGGUGAGUUCAGUUACCAGGGACCAAGUGGGAUGGUCCUAGUGGAGAACCCAAGGUGACCAAUUGCCAGAGUUAAGUGAGCACUAGAUGAGCGGCUGCUGCCAACAGCUUUGCUCUCAGACCACCCAGGCACACAAACCACCAACAUGCCCCAUCUGGGUGGCCCAGAUUUAUAACCCAACUUAAAGGGAUCAUCGUUUGGGGUACUUUAAAUUCAACAUAACCCAAAGGGGUGUUGAAAGCAAAGAACUUUUUAUCACUUGUUACAAGCAGGGAGACAGGGAGACAGCUCUCAAAGCACUGUCUCUUUACUCAUAAUUCCUUUUCUGUGGAG